GGGGAAUAUUGGACAAUGGGGGGAACCCGGAUCAGGCAUUGCCGGGGGGGGGAGGAAGGCUUUAUGUUUUUAAAGCACUUUAACCGGGGGGGGGGCUCUUUUGGUUAAUACCAAAGAGGAUUGACGGUAACUGGCGGAAUAAGCACCGCUAACCUCGGUGCCAGCAGCCGCGGUAAUACAGAGGGUGCGAGCGUUAAUCGGAUUUACUGGGCGUAAAGCGUGCGUAGGCGGCUUUUUAAGUCGGAUGUGAAAUCCCCGAGCUUAACUUGGGAAUUGCAUUCGAUACUGGGAAGCUAGAGUAUGGGAGAGGAUGGUAGAAUUCCAGGUGUAGCGGUGAAAUGCGUAGAGAUCUGGAGGAAUACCGAUGGCGAAGGCAGCCAUCUGGCCUAAUACUGACGCUGAGGUACGAAAGCAUGGGGAGCGAACA
rnacentral:rRNA from 1 species